rnacentral:lncRNA from 1 species
GCCACCUCCUUUCUUACGGACUGAGGCAAGGGUUUUAGUUCUGGUUCUGACCAUUAGAUUGCUGAUUAACUCAUAUACUGAGCAUCUCCACACUCUGUAUAGACUUUCUUGCCUAUUUGUUGAAGAUAAUUUCUUGACCAUCUCUUAAAAAAGAUCCUGCUUGUGGCUACGUUUUUGUCAACUUUAGAAUCCUAGAUACACUUGUUUUACCCCAGCCAAUCGAUGAAAGAGUUACCUUGUAAACAAGGCCAAUCCCACCCUCUCCAUGUCCAUGAUCUCCAGGGAA